rnacentral:rRNA from 1 species
UACAGAGGAGCCAAGCGUUGUCCGGAUUGACUGGGCGUAAAGCGCACGCAGGCGGACGCGCGCGUGGGGUGUGAAAUCUGGCCGCUUAACGGCCAGGCGCCAUCCCAUACGGCGCGUCUGGAGCAAUGCAGAGGUCGGUGGAAUUGCCGGUGUAGUGGUGAAAUGCGUAGAGAUCGGCAGGAACACCCAGGGGGAAACCAGCCGACUGGGCAUUUUGCUGACGCUGAGGUGCGAGAGCGUGGGGAGCGAACGGG